GGGUUAAGUCCCUUAACGAGCGAAACCCUAUUCUUUAGUUGCCAGCGGGUAUGCCGGGACUCUAAAGAGACUGCCGGUGUCAAACCGGAGGAAGGUGGGGAUGACGUCAAGUCCUCAUGGCCUUUAUGUCUAGGGCUGCACACGUCCUACAAUGGUACGGACAAACGGACGCGAAGCCGCGAGGUGGAGCAAAUCCUAGAAACCGUGCCUCAGUUCGGAUUGCAGGCUGCAACUCGCCUGCAUGAAGCUGGAAUCGCUAGUAAUCGUAGGUCAGCAUACUACGGUGAAUGUGUUCCUGAGCCUUGUACACACCGCCCGUCAAGCCACGAAAGUUGGGAGGGCCCGAAGUCACUCAGCUAACCCGCAAGGGAAGCAAGGCCUAAG
rnacentral:rRNA from 1 species